rnacentral:rRNA from 1 species
UACGAAGGGGGCUAGCGUUGCUCGGAAUUACUGGGCGUAAAGCGCACGUAGGCGGCUUUCUAAGUCGGGGGUGAAAUCCUGGAGCUCAACUCCAGAACUGCCUUCGAUACUGGAGAGCUCGAGUCCGGGAGAGGUGAGUGGAACUGCGAGUGUAGAGGUGAAAUUCGUAGAUAUUCGCAAGAACACCAAUGGCGAAAGCAGCUCUCUGGGACGGUCCUGACGCUGAGACGCGAAAGCGUGGGGAGCAAACAGG